CAAUAGCGUAUAUUAAAGUUGUUGCAGUUAAAAAGCUCGUAGUUGGAUUUCGGUUGAGAGCGGCCGGUCCGCCGUUUGGUGUGCACUGGCUGGUUUCAACUUCCUGUAGAGGACGUGCUCUGGGUUUAACGACCUGGACUCGGAGUCUACGUGGUUACUUUGAAAAAAUUAGAGUGUUCAAAGCGGGCUUACGCUUGAAUAUUUCAGCAUGGAAUAACACUAUAGGACUCCUGUCCUAUUUCGUUGGUCUCGGGACGGGAGUAAUGAUUAAGAGGAACAGUUGGGGGCAUUCGUAUUUCAUUGUCAGAGGUGAAAUUCUUGGAUUUAUGAAAGACGAACUUCUGCGAAAGCAUUUGCCAAGGAUGUUUUCAUUAA
rnacentral:rRNA from 1 species